rnacentral:rRNA from 1 species
AACGAACGCUGGCGGCAGGCUUAACACAUGCAAGUCGAGCGCCCCGCAAGGGGAGCGGCAGACGGGUGAGUAACGCGUGGGAACCUACCUGCAGGUACGGAACAACUCCGGGAAACUGGAGCGAAUACCGUAUGUGCCCGAAAGGGGAAAGAUUCAUCGCCUUCAGAUGGGCCCGCAUCAGAUUAGCUAGUUGGUGGGGGAAUGGCCCACCAAGGCGACGAUGUGUAGCUGGUUUGAGAGGCUGAUCAGCCACACUGGGACUGAGACACGGCCCAGACUCCUACGGGGGGCAGCGGUGGGGAAUAUUGGACAAUGGGCGCAAGCCUGAUCCAGCCAUGCCGCGUGAGUGAUGACGGCCUUAGGGUUGUAAAGCUCUUUCGACGGGGACGAUAAUGACGGUACCCGUAGAAGAAGCCCCGGCUAACUUCGUGCCAGCAGCCGCCGUAACAC